AUUGAACGCUGUCGGCAGGCCUAACACAUGCAAGUCGAACGGUAACAGGAAGCAGCUUGCUGCUUUGCUGACGAGUGGCGGGCGGGUGAGUAAUGUCUGGGAAACUGCCCGAUGGAGGGGGAUAACUACUGGAAACGGUAGCUAAUACCGCAUAACGUCGCAAGACCAAAGAGGGGGACCUUAGGGCCUCUUGCCAUCGGAUGUGCCCAGAUGGGAUUAGCUAGUAGGUGGGGUAACGGCUCACCUAGGCGACGAUCCCUAGCUGGUCUGAGAGGAUGACCAGCCACACUGGAACUGAGACACGGUCCAGACUCCUACGGGAGGCAGCAGUGGGGAAUAUUGCACAAUGGGCGCAAGCCUGAUGCAGCCAUGCCGCGUGUAUGAAGAAGGCCUUCGGGUUGUAAAGUACUUUCAGCGGGGAGGAAGGGAGUAAAGUUAAUACCUUUGCUCAUUGACGUUACCCGCAGAAGAAGCACCGGCUAACUCCGUG
rnacentral:rRNA from 1 species